AUUGAACGCUGGCGGCAGGCCUAACACAUGCAAGUCGAACGGUAGCACAGAGAGCUUGCUCUCGGGUGACGAGUGGCGGACGGGUGAGUAAUGUCUGGGAAACUGCCUGAUGGAGGGGGAUAACUACUGGAAACGGUAGCUAAUACCGCAUAACGUCGCAAGACCAAAGAGGGGGACCUUCGGGCCCUUGCCAUCAGAUGUGCCCAGAUGGGAUUAGCAGUAGGUGGGGUAACGGCUCACCUAGGCGACGAUCCCUAGCUGGUCUGAGAGGAUGACCAGCCACACUGGAACUGAGACACGGUCCAGACUCCUACGGGAGGCAGCAGUGGGGAAUAUUGCACAAUGGGCGCAAGCCUGAAUGCAGCCAUGCCGCGUGUAUGAAGAAGGCCUU
rnacentral:rRNA from 1 species